rnacentral:rRNA from 1 species
UACGUAGGAGACGAGCGUUGUCCGGAGUUACUGGGCGUAAAGGGUGCGCAGGUGGCGGCGCGCGUGGGGGGUGAAAUCGCCCGGCUUAACUGGGCGGGGGCCUUCCAGACGGCGUGGCUUGAGCAGCGGAGGGGGACGUGGAAUUCCGGGUGGAGCGGUGAAAUGCGUAGAUAUCAGGAGGAACACCGGUGGCGAAGGCGGGUCUCUGGGCCGAUAUUGACGCUGAGGAGCGAAAGCGUGGGGAGCGAACAGG